AAGAAAGUACAAAGAACUGCUAACUCUUUUCCCCAUAUUUAAACAUAUGGCUUUCUUG
rnacentral:tRNA from 1 species